GCCAUCUCAUCAGGAAGGCGUCCUCCGGCGACCUCAGGAGAGGCAGGAAAGCAUGGAGAAGCCGAUGUGAGUAGGGGAGCUGUGGAAAGGCACACCUCGAGUGUCCAGCUGGGGAGACUCACCAAGCCAUCACUGAAUCAUGGUGAAUCAUCUGCUGACCUUCCAGUGCCCUCUCUGACUUGCUUCUCAAAGGGUGGCCCGUGGAGCAGUAGCCGAGCAUCGCCUAGGACUUUGUGAAAAGGCAACUCUCAGGCCCCACCCUAGACAUUUUGAAACCGAAUCUGUAUUUUCGCAGGAUCCCAGACCUGUAUUUUUUGGUCCAUGCCCUGUGCACUGAGAUGAGCCCAAGGAUCGUGUGGUGAAUGUUUCAGCAAAAGCCAAGUUGCUGUAAAAUGUACACAGCUACGCACCAGCACUUGACCAUCAGAGAGAGGAAGCAGCCUGCCUCAUCUCGUGCUGCUGGUCUGCAGCUCCAGUUCAGGUCAGAAUGACUCCAACACCUCUGCUGUCUGUCUAGAAACCAUGAAGAGCGCCAUGAAAAGUACGGCUGAUCCUUGAGAAGCAUGGGUUUGAACCACGUGUAUCCAUUUGUAUGUGGAUUGUUUCUGGUACAGGCAGUGUUCCCUAGAAUGGAUGCUACAUCAGCAUGGGUCUCAGAGCAAGAAAGAGCUUGGAACAGAGCCCUGAAAUCUGCAAUGGAUAUUGUGACUUUAGACCACUGAAAAUUUCAGGAUUAUCUCUUACCUUGACAUUACCCGAUGUAUCUAGUUGGUACACAAAGGAUCAGUGAGUUGUGAUAAGGCCAUUAAAGAAUAUUGCAGACUGUGAGAUGAGGAAGUGACACUGGGCUCAUACUGGCCAUAGUCAACAAGAACAGAUGAUCCACAGCAUGUCCUACCUUUGCCAUCAGCUGAGGAGCAGAAGGGAAUAGAAUGGGUCUGGGAUCAUCUGAGGCAUUGCCUCUGGACAGUGGUGCCGAUGGUGGGGUCAUGGCAUUGAACAGAUCAUGCUUAUCACCACUGAUGCUUUAUAGCCUAAUUCUUUAGGACAUGACAUAGCAUGGAAUUCUACUGGGGGCAAGAGGAAAGGUUAGUGGAAGUUCUGCUUUCUUCCAUCUUGAGAGAUGCGAUACUUUUCAUCCCAAAGAGGCCCUCUCAGGCCUGAUUUGUAGAAAUGAAGAGCUAUGGCCUGAAAUUGUCAUACUGUGCUUCUGGCCCCAAGGAGCUCACUAUAUGGUGAAUGCGCUUCUGAGUAAAGAGGAUGGCAAGAGACAAUGUAUUUAUUAAGCUUGUAUUAUGUGGCAGGCAUCGAACCAGACUUUCUUUCCACACAUUAGCUUUGAACCUUAACACCAGCACUCAGAUCCCUUGGAAGAUGAGUCUCAAAGCAGUUGAACCCUUGUCAAAGGUCUCAUCCAGGAAACGAUCCAGCGGGAGCCAGAACCAUGUCUGAGCUUUUCCCAUGAUCCCAUUCCUCUUCCUUAUUCCCACCCCCCCUCCCCCACUGGCCCCCACAGGACUUGUUUUGUUGGCACUAAAAAGUGAGGAACCCAAAAUGGAAAUUUAGGUCAUUAGGGAGGCCACUGGAGAAAUUAAUUCAUUAACAUACCGCACUCCUGGGCAUUGUUUUCAUUUGGACCCUCGGGGUUAGAAUUUGCCUCCGCGGAACUGAAUGCUGAACGUGGAGGACCGCGCUGGCCGCUGUACGGGGUCUCCAGUUGUUGCAGAGAAACUACCGGCAAAUGGAAAUGUCGUAAAGAGGAGAACAGAUUUGUCCACGAUGUCACGGGUUCUGCUGCCACCCGCAAAGCUGUUUCCUGGGACUCCUGUGGACCCCGAGGGCUGAUUGAGCACCCAGUCAAAGGUAAGACCUGCACUCCUUUUCUCUGGGGGACUCUCUGGGGCAGCGUUAUUCAACACAGAAGGGACCAGACUAAACUCCACUCGCUCAUAAAGAUAAUCACACACACUUCUGCUAGACGUCUUGGACAGAAAGCCAGCGAGCAUUCUUCAGGGUCAGGUUUGCUCCAAGUGUUGCCUGAUUUAAAAAUAAUAAUAAAAUUGACGGGGAGGGGAUGGACCUGUUGAUACUAAGCUUGCCUGUGAGGCUGAUGGGGUCCUUGAAACAGGGGAACAGCAAUAACACGGCGGCUCUUAUGCCUGGAGCCUCUGAGUGACUUCUGGCUUUUUGGUAAUUAUGUAAAUGCUCCCCCCUUCAGUUGAGGGCUGAGAGAGAGACACCAACAACCACAAACAGAAACGUUUUGGAAGAGCCUAAAGAGUUAGCCAUGGCACGUCUCCCAUUUUCCAUCUUUUAUUUAACUCCUUUGAACUCCCACUAAUUUCCAGGCAACACUUUGGAAUUCCAUUUUUAGCGCUGCCUUUUGAAUUAUUAUUUUUUUCCUCCUGUGGCGUACAAGUCUGCUAUGGAGACGGCCUCCCUUUAUCAUUAAAAUUUUUUUUUCUUCAUUAUUGAAUAAUGUCUGUUGGCAGAAUGAUUUAAAAUGACAGACCCAUUUGAAGAAGGAAAUGGAAGUGAUGUGUAGCCCCAGCUUUCAGAGACAAUCACUCUUAAGGGCUGGGUGUAUUUCUAGCCAGGACUUUUUCUUAAUGUGCACAUUCUUUCUUUCUUUUUUUUUUUUUAACGUCGCUGAGAGCAUGCGGCUCAGAGAGCCCCCUCGGCCUUUAGAGAAGGUUAUUUUGUUCAUCGAAGGGAUGCCUGGCCUGGGAAGAACUUUCAUAUGUUCCCUGGAAUCAUUCUCAGCUCGAUGUGAAUCUGUGAAAUGGGCAAGUACUACCUGUACCACGGUGUCUGUGUGAGGAUCAAGGAGAUAACAUAAAAGCUUCCAGGAGGACGCCUGUCGAUAUGCCUUGCCUUCUCUCUCUUACCCAAAGCUUAUACUCAAGCGGAGGAGCAGGGCUC